GUAGCUGCGGCGCGGCUCUUCCGCCAGGUGCAUGCCGGGUAGAUCAUGAUGGCGUCUGCAGGCUGUGUGGAGGAAUGAAGUGGCUGACCGCUGACUGAUUGCCCGGUGAACCCGCACUCUGCCGAACUGCCCGAACUGCCGGUCUUACUGAACUAUGAGGAUUGCUGUGCUGUUGCCCCCAAACGUCCUGGCUGUUGAACUAUGCUGUGUUUUUCCACUGGGUGGCGCCUCCUGAGCCAAGCCCCCCGCCCCUUGGUCUCCAUGUAUGCCACCCGCAUCUACAGCACCGCGGGGGGAGGAAGUGGAGGAGGAGGCGGAGUUAAACAGGGGCGAAGGGCAGGGCUAGCCAUGCUUGAGGCUCCUCACCCCCACCUCCCACACCACCAACACCCAGCUCCCCCUCCCCCCACAUAUCCAGUGUAUCAGGGCCGCCCUGAUGCCCCCCGAGGAACUCACUUCCACCACCAUUAUCACCCCCAUCCCCACCCACAGCCUGCACACCUGGCCCCAGCCCCAUUGCCCCCUCCCUACCAGCAUCACUUUCACACAUACACCGGGGGGACUAUGGCUGGGGGCAGCAGGAAGAAGACAUGGAACUUUAUCCACGAGAAGAUGAGCUACGACACAUUUUUCACCAUGAAGCGUUUGAUCGAGCGUUCACGGCGGCCCGAUGAGGUCCUGCGUUGGGUCACACAGAACCCUGCUAAGAUCUCUCACAACCACUACCCUGUCGCCCUUCAGAAGAUUGGCCAGCUGCUGCAGGCUGCACUACCCCCACGGCCACAGGGUGACAACCCUGAGCCUGCAGAAGGAAUGGCUGGACGUCAAAUCCUGGAGCAUCAGGACUUCCACACACUCUGCAGUGCCAUCAUCAGCGACUGCGCCAAGUUUGACAACUUCAGCAUUGUCAACUGCCUGUAUGCUGUGGCUGCUCUUGGUCUUCCCAGUGACUCUCAGGUGGUCCAGGUGUUGGAGGCAGAGUCCCAGUCAAGACUAAACCAGUUUAACCAGAAGGAUGUCUCCAUGGUGUUCAGCUCUAGCAUGAAGCUGCAUCCAGGCAGCCAGCACCCUCUGACUGAGGCCUGCCUGGCUGGACUAGAAAAGAACCUGGAGAGGGAACGCCACCCACAGACAUUGUUCCUGCUGCUGUCAUACUAUCGACUGAAGUGGCACUCGCUGCAGGACGCAGGAGCGGCUGCAUCCUCCACUAACAGCAAUAUCAACAACCCCCCCAACCCUGAACAGCUGCUUACCAACAGAAAAAUCCUGCGUGUGGUCAAACACACUCUGGCGAGUGUCAGUGGGGUCCGUGACCAAGAGAUGGCACUGCUCGAUGAGAUGCUGUCAGCAUGCACUCGGGAAGCGAGUAACAAGAGUCUGGAGUUGAUCUUCAGCUCCCACCUGUUCUUCCAGAACCGCCAGGAGAGGUUCAUCAGCAGCCUGGCAGAUGAGCUGCCGAAGAAGGUGGACAGCAUCACUCCUUACACCAUGGCUCUUAUUGCCAAAUACAUUGCUCGCCACCGGCUGAGGGAGACCCAGCUGCUUGAAACUAUUGCAGACUUCUUGGUGAAGAAGGCAGAGUACCUAGACAGCAAGGUGAUCCAGAAGCUGGUGUUCCCGUUUAGCAGGAUGAGUUACCGUCCAUCUAAUGAGAAGCAGUUCUUUUCUCGACUGGAGGAGGUGGUGGAGCUGAAGGCGCUCAGCUCGCCUCUUGCCACUGUCAACAUUCUCAUGUCCCUCUUCCAGCUGGGACACUUCCCCGGCCUAGUGCUGCACCGUGUCUUCUCCUCAGCCUUCAUCAGCAACGUCACCAACAGUCCACACACUCUGAUCGUCCGGAGGUAUCUCUCUCUGCUGGACGCUGCUGUAGAGCUGGAGUACAGAGAGUACACUGGACCGCGACUGCAGGACGCCCACAAGGUCCUCAUGUUUGACCGCGCUCUGACAGCUGAUGAGGUUAAUCGCAAAUAUAGUUAUAAAGGUCUGGUGGCUGAGGCAUUACGUCAGCUGGUUGGAGAACACAACUAUAAACAGGAUGAAGUUCUGGCACCUGGAUACUACACAGACUUUGUACUGUGGCUGGAUAGUUCUGGUCGGGUUCUGCCUAUCAGGACAGGGGCAGGUCUGGGUCUGCGCGUCAUUGCUCCAUCCUGCGUUACCAUAGCGCCCAAACUGUCUGAUGGAGCAGUAGCUGUGGUUACUGCAGAGUUUCAGAAGUUUUCUCCAUUCACAGUGCUAGAGGAGGGCGCUGAGCAAGUGUGUCAGGUGAAUGAGGUGAUGGAGGCUCGGGCCUUCCUGCCCUGCCACAUCCGGAGCACUACAGGGACCACUGUGCCCUCAGGGCCCCCUCGAUCUGGGUCUAAUGGUGCUCCUUUGGACUAUGCCCAGUAUUAUGUCCCUACACCAGAGUACUACUCAACUCUAGCAAAGGAGCACUCUCUGGAGAGUCAGGACAGCUCAACUCUCAGCAGCCCACCCUCUGAUGCCCUGGCCCCAGUAGGGGCCCAGGGACCUCCAGGGGCUGCAGCCCCGGACUCACUCUUUCAGUUUUCUAUUGGGAAAAUACUGGAGGAUGAGGCAGCACCAGGUUCCUCGCCGGGGCAGGAGACGGACUGCGAGCUGCCCCGUUUCUAUGAGGGUGUUACAUAUUCAGAGGGAUCCGAGGCCGACAGAGCAACACCACAGCUGCGCUCUGCGGAUCGACAGGACCCUGACAACACCACAUCAGACCCGAGACUCAUUAAGAGGAUCAUAAUGUCAGUCAAUGACAAGUGGCAUUACUGCCACAACUCUGAGGUUCUGGUUGGGUCCCGGGCCAUGAGGGACCGACACCUAAGGCUUCUGGGAUAUGUCAUAAUUCAGCUCCCGUACCAUGAGUUGGAGAAGCUGAAUGGCAUCGAUGAGGUGAAGCAGUACCUGCAUAAAAAGCUGCUGGACGUCCCACUAUGAUGCUCUGUGUGCAUGUCUACACUCUGGGUGGGGUCAGAGAAACUAGAUUCAGCUCAAAGGAUAAAAAAAGGAGUCCACACUCACACUGGAGGUUUCUUGGGUUCUCCAUCGAACUUGGGCUUCCUCUGACCCUGAGCCGCUGGAGCUGGAGCCCUCAUGUCGGACAGCUCCCUCUGCAGGACGCCAGCAGUGCAGCAUAAAACAACAGAUCAGUAAAAGUGAGCGUCAUCACCCUGGUAAAGGAGGAUCUGGUAGAUUAGCAACUUUGUAUGAAAAUGUCUGUGUCACGCAAUCAGUUCAAAUGCUGUAGCCUCAGCAAAUGCUCACUGACCACAGCCUGGUACUGAACCUCGUAACGCUUCUGGUCUUCGGCCGCCUUCUUGAUCCAAGGAAUCUUCUCCUUCUUCUCCAUCGACUUCCAGGCAGCCUCCAUUGCCGCCUGGGCCUUCCUACGGUCACUCUGUCGUAUGAGCAACAUUGGGUGAAAGGUCGCAACAGCUUUCACAAUAAAAGCCUUCCAGAUGUUUCUGCUAAGCCUCUUAAUCAUUAGGGUAACUCACUCUGUAUUUAGCCAGAUAAUCUCCAAUCACGCUGUGUUGCCACAUCUCCUCGGCUGUUUUUGGUGUCUCUGGAAGCUUUGCCGUCUUUUUCCCAUCUCGUUUCUCCUUAUGUGAUCCCGCUGGUGGCCACGGCUCAGCCUCUGUGUCCCGACACCGCUCCUGCAAUAAUGUAAUCACGACAUCACUGACACAUUGAUCACAUGAAUUCAGCCAGUGGCGGCCACUGGUGACAGGAGGAAUCAGUCAGAAACAUGCAGACCAGCGCUGGGCUUAAACAAAAGCAGACCUUGAUGGACGGCGACUUGGCUCUGUGUGGACUAGAGGCCACGUUCACGCCCAGUUUGCCCCCCCCAAGCUUUUCUUCGCUCAGGACUCGGUCCCGUUCUUCUUCUGGGAGAGACUGGAUGAGAACAAGUCCAUUUGUUAAAGCACCUUUAGGCACAGGACCAGGAAGACAGUUGUUAUGAGUGGGUUUGGUCUGAGGUUCUCGUUUGAGAAGCCUGCGUUGAGCUAAACAUUUAAUUAGCUCCUUCUUCUUCAGCAGGAAUCAGCUCAUACCUCUAAGAAGCGCUGCAGGUCGAUGUCGUACUGCUUCUUUUUCUGAAAGCACACACAUCAGACAUGAAGUAACGCAGGUUCCUCCUCUGAUGAGUGGACGUGAACCUGUUAGUACCAACCUGCUCACAUCGUUUCUGAAACAUGUCUUUCUCCUUCUGCGUCAUCAUCUUCCACUGUUUACUGCAGAGCACCAUCCUCUCUGUGCUAGGGACGUCCUUCAUGUUCACCAUCAGCUCAGCGCAGUACAGUGAGUAGCCGUUACUAGGAGAGAAUACAGGCGUCAGACAGGUGCUCCCUCGCUCGCUGCUGCUGCUCCUUGCUUAGUCAGGACUCACGGUGGUGGUUUGGUCGGUCGUCCGUCAAACUUGUCUUUCAGCUGCCGCUCCGCUUUGGUGAGGACAGACCGCACGUGAUCGUCCGAGUUCACAUCUGGAUGAGCUUCGUGAUAUGCUCGCAUGCUGUCCUGCACACACACAAACACUCCUGACCUGAAGCCUGGUUCUAAAAAGAGCCUGGUCCAACUUCUGACAGUCUACAGGAUUAACUGGACUGGAUUGAUUCAAAGGAUUAGGAUCUGGUUUACUGGUACGUAUCAGAUGAACCUGAACCUUUUGGUUUAUUUCUUGAUUGGGUUCAGUCUGGUCUGGAGUGGUACCUCAUAGUCUUUUUGGAGUUCUAGGGCCUUGCUGAUCCAUUUGAGUCUCCUCUUGUCAGACAGCUGGGACCACUGCCUCCUCAGAGCCUCCUUCAGCUCCUUCUGACUCACCUGGAACAGACAGACAGGUCUGGAUGUUCCUCCCUGCGGGUUGACAGUCCAUUUAGAUGGUGGAUCAGGAAAAUCUGUCCCUUCAAUUGUUGUUAAACUCACUUGAAUCGAGUCAUGUUCUUCUCAAAUUCCUCUUUCUCUCGUUGAAACUCUGUGAUGUAUUUUUGCUAGAGGACACACAAAAAAAAGGUUGAGGCAGAAUGGUCAGUUUAUCCAAACUAAAAAGUAACUAUUAGUGUUUGUAUUGUUACACAUUAUGGACCAGACAAUAUAUAAUUAUUAUAAUUAAUAACCAUUAGUAAUAACUCUAAAUUUUAAUUAAAAUUGUGCCAAUAUUUAAAUAAUUUUAAGAGAUUUUAUUUUAUUAAAGGAUUAGAUUUAAUUAAAGUUUGCUUAGUGGAAUCUGUUGGGUUUUCUAUGUAGUACAAUUUCUGUCAGGUCUUAAAACUUCCUUUGACUUUUGUUGUGAAGUGGCACAAAAAAUUGAAUUCAAUUGUUAAUGUGCUUUUCUUAGGUUUAUGUUCGUUUUGUCUCUCUGAUCUGUGUUCUUCAUUUUAAAAACGUAUAUAUGAUAAAGGAUGAAAAAAAAGCAGAUCACUUGAAGCCAAAGUCUUUGUCUCCACGUUUUCUAGCGGUUUAAACACGACUGACCUUCUUCUUGUCUGGAAGCUCCUUGUACUUCUUGGACAGAAUCUUGGUCAGGUCCAGGUUACUCAUCUCUGGGUGGAUUUUGGCAUAUUUGGCUCUUUUUUCCAUAAAAAAGCGAAAGUACGGUGUCAAAGGUUUCUUAGGGAAAUCAGGGUGAGUCUGUUGGAACAGGUUAGAGGUCAGAGGUCACAGUCAACCUGUGUCCCAUACUGCAGAGCCUUGUUUCGCUCAUCUCACCUUCAGUUUUUUGCCUUUGUAGGGAUUCUUUACAAACUCAAUAGCAUCAACAAUGAGUUCUGUCAUGGUUCUAUACUUGCGGACCUAAAACAAGAACACACUGAGCUCUAACUAAUGUGCGUCAACUUUAGGGUGGUUCUGUUAUCUGGUCAUUCAAAUACAUAGAACACCAUACAGCAGUUAGAUGCUAAAAUAAGAGAACACCUGUAAAUACCUUAACGUUUUAAUAAGGGAAGAGCAGCUAAUAAACUUGUCAGCAGCUUAAAGUUGUUGAGCUCUUUAGGAGGUUAAAUGCAGGUAGAAUGGACCCAGAACAGAUCUGGGUCGUUUCUGGUACCUCAGACGAGACUUUCUGCCACUUCUGACGACACAUGUCACCGGUGAAGCUGCCAAAACAAACUUUCUCCCAGUCAAAGUGAGACUCUGUGGUCUUAUACUUCAUGGCGUCGCCAUCUGGCAGCAGUCCACGAAUCCUCUCCAACAGAGUCAGGCAAUCCUCCUUACUCCACUCAUCUGUGGAGAGACAGCGCAUCCGUGACUGAUCCCUGUUCACACACCAAUGCCUGCCAUACACAGGCUUCGUAAUAGUAGCUGUAUGUAAUGCUGUCACUUAUCACUGUCACAAUUAUUAAUGUUUAAUUAUGAUAGUUGCACUAUUUUAUUGUAUUACGUGUUUGUGUAAUAUAUAUGCAUAGGUGUAUGUAUAUGAAUGUAUUUAUGUACGAGUAUGCACACGCCUUAACAUUAAGCAAAUAACUGUUAAUUAUUUACCUAACUGCUAUCUUUGUGCCUAUUUUGUUGUUUUGCUUCACUGAUUUAUUUGAUUCCAGCAGUUGUUUGAUCAGGUUCAGUCUGGAUUGGUGUACACCCCCCACACACACACGGCCUAAUACAUACAAAAAGAAGCAUGUAUGCAUGCAUGUAGCCCUGAAAACCGAACUCUUUUUCUGUGUUACCUGGUGCACUCUUGAUCCUGGCACUCUGAGCAGCAGAAACGCUGCUGCCGCCGUUCAUCAUGCAGCACCUGACGGAAAAGGAUGCGCCCUCUCCCCCCGCUGAACGCAGAGCAAAAACAGAGUCAGAGUCAGACGCAGCGAUCUGUGCUUCAGUAACACAUUAGAGGUUUAUUAACUAGUGAUGUGCAUAUCAGAAAGGAUAAAAUAUAUUACAAAUCUGAACAGAAGAUUUAUAGCCUGUCUGAAGCCUGAUUUGAAGUUUAAACGGUGUCUGUGUCUUAUUAAAGUAUGCAGACAAAGCUGAAAAGUAUUUACAAUGGUCUUUCCAUUAAUUUUAAGGACCACAAUAGUUUUAAAAAACUCAAAUGAAAGCCUUAAAAGCGGCACAUUUUGAUGAAUAGUAUGUUUCUGUAGCUGGAUGUUUGCGGGAAAAGUCUACAAAUAUCAAUACUGUGAAUGCUUCAUGCAUCUUUACCAAAGCGAAUACUGUGAAGCAUUCAUAGUAUUUGAAUAGUGUGAAGCCAGGACUUGGUGCUGAUUCUGAGCUCGCCUGAAACCGAACCGACCGUUUCCAGGACAGCACUGGGAGGGCGGUAGAGAGCAGACUGGACCGCUGCAGUUCCACGUUUGAUCGGAUCAACUUUGGUUUGGUCCAUGUUUCUGUCCUGAAACCACAAAAAUCCUCCCACGUUUCUCGUGAACGUAGAUUUCGGUUAAAGGCCUGCCGUUCUUUGGGGUCGCGUCCGGUUCUGGAGCCACAGCUCGGAACCAACGCGUUUCCAUGGGAGUCUUAACGGGGUCGGUGACAACCGAAGGCAGCGGGCCGCCAGGCUGCAGCUGCCCGGUAAUGGCGCCCGUCCUCCGGCAGGAGUCCCCACGUAGCUUCCGCUGGCUCGAGUCGAGCUCGUCGUUUGGUUCAAGGCAGAAAAACGCGAAAAACACGGAAAACGCAAACGUGUUUUUUAAAAAAAAAGACUGCAGCAGCGAAAAGCCCGGCUGACACGUGUAACUAUACGAUCGCGUUAUUUAGAAAAACUAGUAAAAUACCAACAUUCGUCGACAUCGGUGCGUUUAGAUAUGAAAUUAAUGCGAUAAAGGGCGAAAGUUUCGCCCGAUGCGGGAAACAAACGCGCUCAACGUGAGCUACGUGCGGGUUUCGGUGCUGAGCGGGCUGGCGACUGGCUGCUGCCCCAGAAGCCUUCACUGCGAAGCCGCCAUGAAUUUUCUGGAGACUCGGGGACGAACGAGCAGAAAAGCACAGAAAUCUGGUCCAAAUCCCACCGUACGACUCACCGUGUGAUGGAGCCGCAGAGCCCGCUCGUCGCCGCACACCGCGGUGCUACUUCGGACGAUAUCGGGACUUUCAAAGUGUGCUUUUUUCAGGCGUAAACCCCGGGGAGUCAGGUCGAAACGAAUCCGACAAAAGGAGCGUCUAGUCCGGUAUGAAACUCCGCCCAGCGCCGCAGGGGGAGGAACUCCGGGGGAAAACAUGAGGACAAAGGCGGAGGAUGAAACCAGAGACAGCGGCGAAAACAGCAGCCGAGCCCGCGUACAGCCACCGUCGGUGCAGGACUCGAGCUUUUAAUUACCGCUGGCUCUUCCCUGGUCCGGGUCCAGAUGCUGUACCGGCGGGGCCCGGGGAUCCGACCGCCAUCCGGCGCCAGCGAUGUAGCGGCCGCUCCGAGGAGCAGAACCUAAGCGGGCAGAAGGUCGCCCGCUCCGCGGCAGCUCGCGACUCCUUCCCCGGCCCGUGCGGAGCGGAGCCGCCACCAGAACCCGCAUCCACAUGGCAUCCUGCCCGCUGAUCUCCCAGAGAGAGCGGUCCCCUCCCAAUGGGAGCCGUGAAGGUUGGAGCCGGUACCAAUAGUUCCGAACCGCGGUGAUCACACCUGUUCUGCGGGAAGCUGUGCACAGGUGAGCGGGUCACGGGUGACAGCGCCGCCUGUUUUUAUUGCUCCAUAAAAACCUGGGAGAAGCCUGCGGGCCCGGGGCCCCUGAAUACCGCCACCUGCAGGCCCGGAUGUUCACGUCUCAGUCUGGUGCAGAACCCACAGAACCGGUCGGGAGUCAUGUGUGGACCCUGUCAAACUCCAAACUCCCCCUUGGGUUUAUUCAGAAAUAAAAACACUUUCAAAACUUUGUGUCUGUAAACUAACACCUAGAGCUUUUACUUUGAAAAGUAAAUUAUGUUGUUGCUGUUGUUGUUGUUGCUGCUGCUGCUGCUGUGCUUUUCUCUCUCUCUCUUUCUCCCCUCACCGUAAUCGGUAGAGGCAAAUGACCGCCCACAUCCAGCCUGGUUCAGCUGGAGGUUUCUUCUUCGUUAGAGAGGGAGUUUAUCCUCUCCUCUGUUGCUGUCAAAAAAUGUUCAGAUUAAUAGAAUCCUUUAUAGGCUGGAAUAUUUUAAGGCAUUUUUUAGUCAUGUUUUGUGGUUUAUUAAUAAUUUAAUUUGACUUCUAUUUAGGAAUGUUCUAUCUGCAAAAAUUAAGAAAUUAUAAGAAAACACUGAUUAAAAACUCGAGUCAGUUUGA